rnacentral:lncRNA from 1 species
ACCAAAUAAAGAAAAUGGAAAAUAUCAAGGAAAUAACAGCAUAAAAUUAAAACAUAAUCUAAAAUUUUGGUUAUAUCAAACCCUGGAUAAACUAUUCAGUUCAUGAUGGAAGCAUGGAAACUAUCAAAUUUAUAAUAAACAAAAUAGAGGAGAAAUGAGAAAAACUAGUGUUGUAGAGAAUCAACCUUCUUCGCUUUUGUUGAUCUUGACUUGCUCCUUGUCCUGUUGAAUUGUGUUUGAAAAGUGGCAUUUCAACUUGUAUUUAUAGGUUCUUUGAAGUCCCGAUGGAGUUGGAUUGUAACUGGCCUCUUAAUAGUAAAAAAAAACUUGAAAAACCUACUGAUGGCACAACACCUAGGCACCCAAAUACAGCGCCUAGGCAUCACAAUGUGCGUCUAUGCUGGCACCUGGAUGCCAGCUUACUAGAUUAUUUUUUGUUUACGGGCACUCGGGAGCUCCAUUGGCGGCGCUUGGGCGCUUCGUUGCUGAUUUUUAUUUAUUUAUUAUUCAUUAUAUAAAAAAGAAGUG